AUACUACAGAAGAUUGGUAACUCAUACAAACUACUACUUCCUGCCAAUGUACAGAUACACAAUGUCUUUCAUGUGAGUCAACUGAAAAGACACUUGGGACCUAAUGUUGUUCCUGCUCUGGGCUUGCCACUUGUGGAUGCUACUGGCAAAAUCAAGGUCUCCCCUGUGUUGGUGCUGGAUAGUACUAGAGCAGUUCCUCGGCCUUCAAAAUUGGUCACUCAAUGGUUGGUGCGGUGGUUAAACAUGUCCCCAAAAGAGGCAACUUGA
rnacentral:rRNA from 1 species